AUAUGAUUAUAGUAUUUAUUGUAACACGUAAGUACGUAAGAGCAUCCCCAAUAGUUAAGAUGUUAAAACAUCUUAAUCUUGCAUCUUAGUUUUUUUUUAAAAUUAAAAUUUUGCUUUUUCAAAGUUAAGAUAAGUUAGAGAAUAUCUUAACUUAUUUAUGCUCCAAUGGUUAAGAAGCAAAAAGUUAUUUUGGGAAAAAA
rnacentral:sRNA from 1 species